rnacentral:rRNA from 1 species
UACAUGUGGGGCAAGCGUUGUUCGGAAUUACUGGGCAUAAAGGGUGCGUAGGCGGCUUGUUAAGUCAUUGGUGAAAGUUUUCGGCCCAACCGGAAAAUUGCCUGUGGUACUGGCGAGCUGGAGUGCGUGAGGGGUGGGGGGAACGAGCAGUGUAGCGGUGAAAUGCGUAGAUAUCGGGAGGAACACCUGUGGCGAAAGCGGCUCACUGGACCACAACUGACGCUGAGGCGCGAAAGCUAGGGGAGCAAACAGG